CGGGACGGGUGAGUAAUGUCUGGGAAACUGCCUGAUGGAGGGGGGUAACUACUGGAAACGGUAGCUAAUACCGCAUAACGUCGCAAGACCAAAGAGGGGGACCUUCGGGCCUCUUGCCAUCGGAUGUGCCCAGAUGGGAUUAGCUAGUAGGUGGGGUAACGGCUCACCUAGGCGACGAUCCCUAGCUGGUCUGAGAGGAUGACCAGCCACGCUGGAACUGAGACACGGUCCAG
rnacentral:rRNA from 1 species